rnacentral:rRNA from 1 species
UACGAAGGGGGCUAGCGUUGCUCGGAAUCACUGGGCGUAAAGGGUGCGUAGGCGGGUUUUUAAGUCAGGGGUGAAAUCCUGGAGCUCAACUCCAGAACUGCCUUUGAUACUGAAGAUCUUGAGUCCGGGAGAGGUGAGUGGAACUGCGAGUGUAGAGGUGAAAUUCGUAGAUAUUCGCAAGAACACCCGUGGCGAAGGCGGCUCACUGGCCCGGUACUGACGCUGAGGCACGAAAGCGUGGGGAGCAAACAGG